rnacentral:rRNA from 1 species
UCCGUAGGUGAACCUGCGGAGGGAUCAUUACCGAGUUUACAACUCCCAAACCCAAUGUGAACGUUACCAAACUGUUGCCUCGGCGGGAUCUCUGCCCCGGGUGCGUCGCAGCCCCGGACCAAGGCGCCCGCCGGAGGACCAACCAAAACUCUUUUUGUAUACCCCCUCGCGGGUUUUUUAUAAUCUGAGCCUUCUCGGCGCCUCUCGUAGGCGUUUCGAAAAUGAAUCAAAACUUUCAACAACGGAUCUCUUGGUUCUGGCAUCGAUGAAGAACGCAGCGAAAUGCGAUAAGUAAUGUGAAUUGCAGAAUUCAGUGAAUCAUCGAAUCUUUGAACGCACAUUGCGCCCGCCAGUAUUCUGGCGGGCAUGCCUGUCCGAGCGUCAUUUCAACCCUCGAACCCCUCCGGGGGGUCGGCGUUGGGGAUCGGCCCUGCCUUGGCGGUGGCCGUCUCCGAAAUACAGUGGCGGUCUCGCCGCAGCCUCUCCUGCGCAGUAGUUUGCACACUCGCAUCGGGAGCGCGGCGCGUCCACAGCCGUUAAACACCCAACUUCUGAAAUGUUGACCUCGGAUCAGGUAGGAAUACCCGCUGAACUUAAGCAUAUCAAUAAGCGGAGGAA